rnacentral:rRNA from 1 species
GACGUAGGAGGCGAGCGUUGUCCGGAGUCACUGGGCGUAAAGGGCGCGCAGGCGGUCGUUCAAGUCGAGUGUGAAAGCCCCCGGCUCAACUGGGGAGGGUCACUCGAUACUGAUCGACUCGAAGGCAGGAGAGGGAAGUGGAAUUCCCGGUGUAGUGGUGAAAUGCGUAGAUAUCGGGAGGAACACCAGUGGCGAAGGCGACUUCCUGGCCUGUUCUUGACGCUGAGGCGCGAAAGCUAGGGGAGCAAACGGG